rnacentral:rRNA from 1 species
GAUGAACGCUGGCGGCGUGCCUAAUACAUGCAAGUCGAGCGAACGGACGAGAAGCUUGCUUUUCUGAUGUUAGCGGCGGACGGGUGAGUAACACGUGGAUAACCUACCUAUAAGACUGGGAUAACUUCGGGAAACCGGAGCUAAUACCGGAUAAUAUUUUGAACCGCAUGGUUCAAAAGUGAAAGACGGCCUUGCUGUCACUUAUAGAUGGAUCCGCGCUGCAUUAGCUAGUUGGUAAGGUAACGGCUUACCAAGGCAACGAUGCAUAGCCGACCUGAGAGGGUGAUCGGCCACACUGGAACUGAGACACGGUCCAGACUCCUACGGGAGGCAGCAGUAGGGAAUCUUCCGCAAUGGGCGAAAGCCUGACGGAGCAACGCCGCGUGAGUGAUGAAGGUCUUCGGAUCGUAAAACUCUGUUAUUAGGGAAGAACAUAUGUGUAAGUAACUGUGAACAUCUUGACGGUACCUAAUCAGAAAGCCACGGCUAACUACGUG